GAUGAACGCUGGCGGCGUGCCUAAUACAUGCAAGUCGAGCGAACGGACGAGAAGCUUGCUUCUCUGAUGUUAGCGGCGGACGGGUGAGUAACACGUGGAUAACCUACCUAUAAGACUGGGAUAACUUCGGGAAACCGGAGCUAAUACCGGAUAAUAUUUUGAACCGCAUGGUUCAAAAGUGAAAGACGGUCUUGCUGUCACUUAUAGAUGGAUCCGCGCUGCAUUAGCUAGUUGGUAAGGUAACGGCUUACCAAGGCAACGAUGCAUAGCCGACCUGAGAGGGUGAUCGGCCACACUGGAACUGAGACACGGUCCAGACUCCUACGGGAGGCAGCAGUAGGGAAUCUUCCGCAAUGGGCGAAAGCCUGACGGAGCAACGCCGCGUGAGUGAUGAAGGUCUUCGGAUCGUAAAACUCUGUUAUUAGGGAAGAACAUAUGUGUAAGUAACUGUGCACAUCUUGACGGUACCUAAUCAGAAAGCCACGGCUAACUACGUGCCAGCAGCCGCGGUAAUACGUAGGUGGCAAGCGUUAUCCGGAAUUAUUGGGCGUAAAGCGCGCGUAGGCGGUUUUUUAAGUCUGAUGUGAAAGCCCACGGCUCAACCGUGGAGGGUCAUUGGAAACUGGAAAACUUGAGUGCAGAAGAGGAAAGUGGAAUUCCAUGUGUAGCGGUGAAAUGCGCAGAGAUAUGGAGGAACACCAGUGGCGCAGGCGACUUUCUGGUCUGUAACUGACGCUGAUGUGCGAAAGCGUGGGGAUCAAACAGGAUUAGAUACCCUGGUAGUCCACGCCGUAAACGAUGAGUGCUAAGUGUUAGGGGGUUUCCGCCCCUUAGUGCUGCAGCUAACGCAUUAAGCACUCCGCCUGGGGAGUACGACCGCAAGGUUGAAACUCAAAGGAAUUGACGGGGACCCGCACAAGCGGUGGAGCAUGUGGUUUAAUUCGAAGCAACGCGAAGAACCUUACCAAAUCUUGACAUCCUUUGACAACUCUAGAGAUAGAGCCUUCCCCUUCGGGGGACAAAGUGACAGGUGGUGCAUGGUUGUCGUCAGCUCGUGUCGUGAGAUGUUGGGUUAAGUCCCGCAACGAGCGCAACCCUUAAGCUUAGUUGCCAUCAUUAAGUUGGGCACUCUAAGUUGGCUGCCGGUGACAAACCGGAGGAAGGUGGGGAUGACGUCAAAUCAUCAUGCCCCUUAUGAUUUGGGCUACACACGUGCUACAAUGGACAAUACAAAGGGCAGCGAAACCGCGAGGUCAAGCAAAUCCCAUAAAGUUGUUCUCAGUUCGGAUUGUAGUCUGCAACUCGACUACAUGAAGCUGGAAUCGCUAGUAAUCGUAGAUCAGCAUGCUACGGUGAAUACGUUCCCGGGCCU
rnacentral:rRNA from 1 species